CCCCGCCUCGGGAGGGGACACUUACUGAGUCUCAACUGGACCUGACCUCUGGGGACAUUUCUUAAAGCAGAGAGAACAGGAGCCCCUCAGUCACCAAGACAGCUUUGGAACCGGUGGCCCCGGAGCCAAGCUCUAUUCUGGACAGAGCACUUGCCCUAUGGAAAGGGCUAGAAACAAAUCUGCCACUCCUGGGGAGCCAGGGGCACAGGAGGAAGGACGUCUGGCAGACUUUCCCGGCAGGCAGGGAUGAGGGGCUGCCUGGUUAAAAUAGUAACUGCCGAAGGUGACAGUGACAUAAUCCAUGUGUGCAGCCACCCUGGGGGCAUUCUGGGUUCUCCACCUCUGCUCUGGCUAAGAGUGGGCCUGAUGAUGAUUUUCGCACCCCGUCUAGUUCUAUCUAGAACCAAAGCCUAAGCGUUUUGCUGGGUUCCUGUUCACUAAUGCACGCGCUUACGUUUGAACUGAACUUGUCAAAAAUACGCCUUUGUGUCUUCUUUAUUAUCAUCUUUGUAGUUUUCAGGAUGACCAUCGGGUCUUUGUCCGUAUAGGCACAACUGGCAGAUUCCAAGCACACCUACAAAGGACGACCUGAAACCCGUGAUCUUUAUGCCAGCUGAAGUCAGCAUCCCAUCCAGGCUACGGGCAUGGCGGCUUUCCCUCUCUCCCGGCGGCAAAUUUAAGUCUGCUGGUCCCCAAGCACCGUGAAAUGAGGUGUGGGGACCCCGGAGCGUUUCAAACAAAUCCCUCAGGAAGCUCAUCAGAGAGAAGAUCAAUGAGAAUGGGCUUCGGGUCCGUGCCAGCGUGUUGGGUGACAACCCAAAGCCACUUCACCAUGGACCCUGUGCCUGAUAACUUGUAGCAGUGCUCACACUAGGUGACGGAGUACACGGUCUGCCCUACGAUUAUCUCAUUUGAAUCUCGCCACAGCACCGCAAGGAAGGUACCUACUCUCACCAUCAUUUUGCAUAAGGGGAAACCGAGGCACAAAAAGGUCAAAGGUCAAGCAGUGAGAUCAAGUGAUCAAGCCCAGACAUUCUGUUUCCAGAAUGUACACGCUUUAUCCAUUUCACAUCGUAUCCUGGGGCUCCUGGGUAGCUUAGUCGUUUAAGCAUCUGCCUCUUGAUUUUGGCUCAGGUCACGUCUCACGGUUCGUGGGAUCAAGCCCCACGUUUGGCUCCAUGC